UACGUAGGGUGCGAGCGUUAAUCGGAAUUACUGGGCGUAAAGCGUGCGCAGGCGGUGAUGUAAGUCAGAUGUGAAAUCCCCGGGCUCAACCUGGGAACUGCAUUUGUGACUGCAUCGCUGGAGUGCGGCAGAGGGGGAUGGAAUUCCGCGUGUAGCAGUGAAAUGCGUAGAGAUGUGGAGGAACACCGAUGGCGAAGGCAGCCCCCUGGGCUAACACUGACGCUCAUGCACGAAAGCGUGGGGAGCAAACAGG
rnacentral:rRNA from 1 species